UACGAAGGGGGCUAGCGUUGUUCGGAAUCACUGGGCGUAAAGGGCGCGUAGGCGGCUUGAUAAGUCGGGGGUGAAAGCCUGUGGCUCAACCACAGAAUUGCCUUCGAUACUGUCGAGCUUGAGACCGGAAGAGGUAAGUGGAACUGCGAGUGUAGAGGUGAAAUUCGUAGAUAUUCGCAAGAACACCAGUGGCGAAGGCGGCUUACGGGUCCGGUUCUGACGCUGAGGCGCGAAAGCGUGGGGAGCAAACAGG
rnacentral:rRNA from 1 species